GUACUGAUGAAGAGUCUCAAACUAGGACGAAACAGUCGUCCAGUAC
rnacentral:hammerhead_ribozyme from 1 species